rnacentral:rRNA from 1 species
CGGUGGAGCAUGUGGUUUAAUUCGAAGCAACGCGAAGAACCUUACCAGGCCUUGACAUGCAGAGAACUUUCCAGAGAUGGAUUGGUGCCUUCGGGAACUCUGACACAGGUGCUGCAUGGCUGUCGCCAGCUCGUGUCGUGAGAUGUUGGGUUAAGUCCCGUAACGAGCGCAACCCUUGUCCUUAGUUACCAGCACGUUAUGGUGGGCACUCUAAGGAGACUGCCGGUGACAAACCGGAGGAAGGUGGGGAUGACGUCAAGUCAUCAUGGCCCUUACGGCCUGGGCUACACACGUGCUACAAUGGUCGGUACAAAGGGUUGCCAAGCCGCGAGGUGGAGCUAAUCCCAUAAAACCGAUCGUAGUCCGGAUCGCAGUCUGCAACUCGACUGCGUGAAGUCGGAAUCGCUAGUAAUCGUGAAUCAGAAUGUCACGGUGAAUACGUUCCCGGGCCUU